rnacentral:tRNA from 1 species
UACCCUUUUAGUAUAAACAGUACAAUUGACUUCCAAUCAAUCAGCUUCGGUAUAACCCGAAAAAGAGUAA